AGAUUGAACGCUGGCGGCAUGCCUUACACAUGCAAGUCGAACGGCAGCACGGGAGCAAUCCUGGUGGCGAGUGGCGAACGGGUGAGUAAUGCCUAGGAAUCUGCCUAGUGGUGGGGGAUAACGUUCGGAAACGGACGCUAAUACCGCAUACGUCCUACGGGAGAAAGCGGGGGACCUUCGGGCCUCGCGCCAUUAGAUGAGCCUAGGUCGGAUUAGCUAGUUGGUGAGGUAAUGGCUCACCAAGGCACGAUCCGUAACUGGUCUGAGAGGAUGAUCAGUCACACUGGAACUGAGACACGGUCCAGACUCCUACGGGAGCAGCAGUGGGAAUA
rnacentral:rRNA from 1 species